rnacentral:rRNA from 1 species
AUUGAACGCUGGCGGCAUGCCUUACACAUGCAAGUCGAACGGUAACAGGUCUUCGGAUGCUGACGAGUGGCGAACGGGUGAGUAAUACAUCGGAACGUGCCCGAUCGUGGGGGAUAACGGAGCGAAAGCUUUGCUAAUACCGCAUACGAUCUACGGAUGAAAGCAGGGGACCGCAAGGCCUUGCGCGGACGGAGCGGCCGAUGGCAGAUUAGGUAGUUGGUGGGAUAAAAGCUUACCAAGCCGACGAUCUGUAGCUGGUCUGAGAGGGCGACCAGCCACACUGGGACUGAGACACGGCCCAGACUCCUACGGGAGGCAGCAGUGGGGAAUUUUGGACAAAGGGCGAAAGCCUGAUCCAGCCAUGCCGCGUGCAGGAUGAAGGCCUUCGGGUUGUAAACUGCUUUUGUACGGAACGAAAAGACUCUUUCUAAUAAAGAGGGUCCAUGACGGUACCGUAAGAAUAAGCACCGGCUAACUACGUG